UGUUGCUUGCAAGGGCGUAUGGUGGAUGCCUUGGCAGACAGGACCGAUGAAGGACGUUUGAGGCUGCGAUAUGCCUCGGGGAGCCGCCAACAGGGCUUUGAUCCGAGGAUUUCCGAAUGGGGGAACCCACCGACCGUCAUGGGUCGGUACCGGCUUCGGCCGGGGGGUACGCAGGGAAGUGAAACAUCUCAGUACCUGCAGGAAAGGAUAUUCCGUGAGUAGUGGCGAGCGAAAGCGGAUGAUGGCCAAACCUUGCGCGUGUGAUACCCGUCGGGGGUUGCGCGCGGGGUGUUGCGGGAUCGCGUGCGCCGGCUCCGACGGGCCGGCCGGCAGUUUUAGAAAAUCAUGUGUCAGGGGAACCGGGUUGAAUACCGGGCCGCAGAGGGUGAGGGCCCCGUACCUGAACGCGCAUGGUCUGCCGAUCGCGUCUCCCAAGUAGCACGGGUCCCGUGGAACCCCGUGCGAAUCCGCCCAGACCGUUGGGUAAGCCUGAAUAUUCCUGUCUGACCGAUAGCGAACGAGUACCGUGAGGGAAAGGUGAAAAGUACCCCGGGAGGGGAGUGAAACAGUCUCUGAAACCGUGCGCCUACAAUCCGUCGGAGCCCUUUUGUGGGGUGACGGCGUGCCUAUCGAAAAAUGAGUCUGCGAGUCAGUGGCAUGUGGCGAGCAUAACCCGUGUGGGGUAUGCGUAGCGAAGGCGAGUCUUAAAAGGCGUUUGAGUCGCGUGUCCUGGACCCGAAGCGGGAUGAUCUAGCCCUGAGCAGGUUGAAGCGCGGGUAAGACCGCGUGGAGGACCGAACCCACCUGGGUUGAAAACCGGGGGGAUGACUUGGGGCUAGGGGUGAAAGGCCAAUCAAAUUCCGUGAUAGCUGGUUCUCUCCGAAAUGCAUUUGGGUGCAGCGUCGGGUCAUUACGUCCCGGGGGUAGAGCUACUGGAUGCUUGCGGGCCCGUAUCGGGUACCAACAGCAACCAAACUCCGAAUACCGGUGACGCGUAUCCCGGCAGUGAGUCGGCGGGGGAUAAGCUUCGUCGUCGAAAGGGAAACAGCCCAGACCGUCGUCUAAGGUCCCGAAGCGUGUGCUAAGUGGGAAAGGAUGUGGAGUCGCAUAGACAGCCAGGAGGUUGGCUCAGAAGCAGCCACCCUUGAAAGAGUGCGUAACAGCUCACUGGUCUAGUGGUUCCGCGCCGACAAUGUAGCGGGGCUCAAGCACACCACCGAAGACGCGGCAGUAUUUUGUACUGGGUAGGAGAGCGUCCCAUGAGGGGCGAAGCGGCCGUGUGAACGCGCCGUGGACUUCAUGGGAGUGAGAAUGCAGACAUGAGUAGCGAGAGACGGGUGAAGAUCCCGUCCGCUGGAUGACCAAGGGUUCCAGGGCCACGUUCAUCGUCCCUGGGUGAGUCGGGUCCUAAGGCGAGGCCGACAGGCGUAGUCGAAUGGAUGAACGGGUCGAUAUUCCCGUACCGGCUUUCAGCCGCCAAAACCGAGGCUUGGAGUACUAACCUCCGGGUCCGGGCUUACUGCUCCUUCGGGGGCGGGAUGCCCUGGCCUGUUGGGACCGAUCCUUGUAGUAGGUCAGCGCAGGAGUGACGCAGAAGGGUAGCCGGCCGCGGAGGUGGUCUUCCGUGGUCAAGCACGCAGGGCGUGGGACAGGCAAAUCCGUCCCGCAUGGGUCCGAGGUGCGAUGAUGGGGGCCUUAUGGCCCGAUAUCCGGUGAUCCCGGCUGCCGAGAAAAGCUUCGGCGUCAGGCUCAAAGCCGCCCGUACCCCAAACCGACACUGGUGGUCAGGUAGAGAAUACCAAAGCGAUCGAGCGAAUCCUGGUCAAGGAACUCGGCAAAUCACUCCCGUUCCUUCGGUUUAAGGGAGACCCCCGAUGGUGAACCGCCUCGCGCGGGGAGCUUUUGGGGGUGGCACAGACCAGGGGGUAGCGACUGUUUACCAAAAACACAGGUGCAUGCGAAGGCGCAAGCCGCUGUAUAUGCACUGACGCCUGCCCGGUGCCGGAAGGUUAAGAGGAUCCGUCAGCCUUCGGGUGAAGCGGUGAAUUCAAGCCCCGGUAAACGGCGGUGGUAACUAUAACCAUCCUAAGGUAGCGAAAUUCCUUGUCGGGUAAGUUCCGACCUGCACGAAUGGCGUA
rnacentral:rRNA from 1 species